CAACCCUCGAGCCCCCGUGGCCCGGCGUUGGGGAUCUGCCACGGCAGGCCCCUAAAACCAGUGGCGGACCCGAAGGGCCCUCUCCUUUGCGCAGUAGCAUCAGCCUCGCAUCGGGAGUCCUCGGCGUCCUGCCUCUAAACCCCCUACAAGCCCGCUCCGGCGGCACCAA
rnacentral:misc_RNA from 1 species